rnacentral:rRNA from 1 species
AACGAACGCUGGCGGCAUGCCUAACACAUGCAAGUCGAGCGAGGACUUCGGUUCUAGCGGCGGACGUGUGAUUAACGCGUGGGAAUGUGCCCUUCUCUACGGAAUAGCCCUGUUAAACUUGGAUUAAUACCGUAUACGCUCUUUUGGGGAAAGAUUUAUCGGAGCAUGAUCAGCCCGCGUUGGAUUAGGUAGUUGGUGGUGUAAUGGCCUGCCAAGCACACGAUCCAUAGCUGGUUUGAGAGGAUGAUCAGCCACACUGGGACUGCGACACGGACCAGACUCGUACGGGAGGGAGCAGUGGGGAAUCUUAGACAAUGGAGGCAAAUGUAAUAAAGCCAUGUCGGGUGAGUGAUGAAGGCCUUAGGGUUGUAAAGCUCUUUGAGCUGGGAAGAUAGUGACGGUACCAGCAGAAGAAGCCCCGGCUAACUCCGUG